AUUGAACGCUGGCGGCAGGCCUAACACAUGCAAGUCGAACGAGUGGCGGACGGGUGAGUAAUGUCUGGGAAACUGCCCGAUGGAGGGGGAUAACUACUGGAAACGGUAGCUAAUACCGCAUACCAUCGGAUGUGCCCAGAUGGGAUUGGCUAGUAGGUGGGGUAAUGGCUCACCUAGGCGACGAUCCCUAGCUGGUCUGAGAGGAUGACCAGCCACACUGGAACGAAGACACGGUCAAGACUCCUACGGGAGGCAGAAGUGGGGAAUAUUGCAAAAUGGGGGCAAGCCGGAUGCAGCAAUGCCGGGGGGAGGAAGAAGGCCUUCGGGUUGUAAAGUACGUUCAGCGAGGAGGCGGUACUCGCAGAAGAAGCACCGGCUAACUCCGUGCCAGCAGCCGCGGUAAUUC
rnacentral:rRNA from 1 species